rnacentral:lncRNA from 1 species
UUAUAAUUUGUGUUCGUUUAGGCUCAACACUGAAUAGGGAUAUAUUUGGGACAAUAUAAUUUAAAAGCUUGUUCUGGAGUAAAACAUGAAUCAACUGUAUCUUUAGGAGAAAUUCAACAUCACUCAAGAAUGAAGUUCAAGUAUAGUAUUCAUCAUUGAAGUUUCCCAAAAUUGUCUAAAAAUAAUAAUCAUUGCCAUUUUCCUCCCCUACUUACUAAAGUGGAAUCCAGCACUUUCACAAAUAAGAAAAAUAAUGCAAAGAGUAGAAGAAUAAGAAGAAGAAAAAACUUGAAACUUGAAGGGCUACAGUAUGGUGCGCUUCCAAUAAAGCUAUAUGCCAACAUGGUUAGAUUUUCAAGCUUCUUAAUGUUGAACUAAGUACAGAGAGAUUGCUGGGAGCUCUCUGCUUAUAGUCUUUCUCCAAUGCCAUUGCGGACAAAGAUUGCAGC